rnacentral:lncRNA from 1 species
CAAAAAUUCUCUUUUCUCAUUGAAAUUUCUUUUGCUCUUGUUUCAAAGAUCUCAUCACUUUGUGUCAGCCUAUUUUUCAGUUAUCCUGUUGCACUAAGUUUUGUAUCUCUUCUUUCACCAAAGUCAUGCUAUCUAGAUCUGUAGCUUUAUUAGUAAGUGUCAUUCCCUAGGUUAAAAAAAAAAAGGAAAGUAUUCUUUUUAAUGACAUCAUUCUCUAAUUGUUCAAAAAUAAAAACAACACCCAUUUUGUAUGAGUUUUCAAUCUUAAAAACCUAUUUAAAAUUAGAAAUUGUUGUUGAAAAUAUAAUUACGUCUAUUUUAAAACUCAUGUACUCUAAGUAAUGUGUUCACGAUUUAACUAAAAAUUAAACUUUAAAAAAUGAAAAAGUGAUUUUGGCAUAAACUCAAGUUUUCCUUGUCAGACUCACUGAAGAAUUAGCAUCCUAUCAUUUGAAUCAAUAAUACAUAAAGAAAGCUUUUUGAAAUAAUUUAAUUGACUAAAUCUGUAAGUGUUCUUUUUAAAAAAAUGUUUCUGGAAUGUUGUGGUUAAGGUCCGAAUCUAUUUAUUUGCUACUUGGGCAAAAUCAUAUGCUCAGUAAAGUAUAUAGGCUGAUAAAGAUUGACCAUCCCUAAUCAGAAAAUCUAAAAUCUGACAUGAUCCAAAAUCUGAAAUUUUUGAGGACCUAAAUGCCACUAGAGAAAAAUUCCAAAUUUGACCUUGUGUGAUGGAUUACAGUCAAAAUAUAGGUGCACUGAAAAUGUUGUAUUAAACAUCCUUCAGCGUUUGUGUAUAAGGAAUGCAUGAAACAAAUGAAUUCUGUGUUUAAACUUGGGUACCAUCCUCAAGAUAUCUCAUUAUAUGUAUGCAAAUAUUCCAAAAUUAAAAAAAUAAUCUAAAAUCUGAAAUAUUUAUGGUACUUAGAAUUUUGGAUAAAGAAUACUAAACAUAUAUGCAGUUGCUACCCAAAUCUGUCCUACAGUGAAUUCUAUCUAAAUGUACCUCGAUAAUGUGAUGGUACUAAGAAUUUUGGAUACAGAAUACUCAACGUGUAUGCAGUUGCUACCCAAAUCUGACCUACAGUGAAUUCUAUCUAAAUGUACCUUGAUAAUGUGUUCCUUAAGUGAACUUUCAGACAUCUCCAUGGAGAUUCAGAGCACACAACUUGUUCAGUAAAACAUCCUGUGAAGUCUAUAUUUUCUCCCCAUUGAACUGGGUUGGAAACCUCACCAAAGGUUCCAUCUUGUUUUGUUUCCCCCCCCAUUUGAACUUUUACUUUUACCAAUGUAAGACUAUCAAGCAUGUGAUAAGAAAAGUGCUUUUCUUAAAAUUUAAUAUUUUUCUUGCUGGAUGCUGGCACAUCUCUGCAAUCUCAGAACCUCAGGAGGCUAAGGCCGGAGAAUCAGAAGUUUAAGCCCAAACCGGAAAAUUUAGUGAGACUUUAUCUCAAAAUAAAAUAUAAAAAGGGCUGGGGAUAUAACUCAGUGGUAGAGCACCUCUGGUUCAAUCCCCUUCACCAGCCCAAAUUUAACUUCUUUCUUUUCUUGCUUAAAAAUUAGAUUUAAAAUUACUAAAGCAAUAUAUGAUCAUAUUACAAAUAUAAAUAACAUACAGAGAUUAAUAUUUGAGCAUUUCUCUCUCACUUCUCCUAAUACAUUUCCCUUCUCUGUGGUGAAACUGUUAACUUUAAUUUUCUAAUUUUUACACAUUUAUAUAUCUCAGAUGUAUGUACACAAAAGGAUUUGCACUUGUUUCUAUAUAUGUAUAUACAUAUGCAUCUAUAUAUUUGGGGAGGAAUGUUAACUUAAGAAACUAAAAAAAAAAUACUUUUAAGUACUAAAAACAUAUAUAAAAAAUGUGUAAAACAAUCCCCUGACAGUUAACAUCAAGGAAGAAUUUUCCUCAGUAUUUUAUAAAAAAAAUUUCAGACUUCUCACAUCUGUAAACACAUUUACAAACAAAAAAGAUAAAACAUAAUCAUGCUCUUCACAUUAUUUUAAAUUUAUUAAAUUUAGGACAAAUUUUGCAUAAAUAAAAAUUUAAAAAUGAAGCCAAAGGAAUCACUGGCCUUUGAAUAAAUGUUUGUAUACUAUAAAGAUACUAAUUCCUAUAAAAUAGCUCCAACCAAACAUUUAAAAAAUGAAGAUAAUAUAAAAGAAAGAAGAAUAAAAGCAUAAUUUUACUUAAACUGCAUUUUUCUAUGUACACUGUAUCUAUUUCCUUUUUUUGUUAAAAAUAAGAAAAUUUAUAAACUCCUCAUUCCCUUUUUGUUCCUUAUUCUCUAUUAUUUUGCUAUAUUAAUUUUACAUGGCCAUGAUUCUGUAAUCAUAAGUACUACAACUUAGUUGUUUUAUGUUCAUCUACUUUAUAUUUAUUUCAGUAUUUUUCCUAUGUUAUAUUAAUAAUCUUUUGUCCUUUUCAUCUAUAGUUUCAUUCUGGAACUCGGAGUUAUAAUCUAUGGGCAAGACAUAUAACUUAAUUUGGACUUGUCUUACAGGAGCUAGAUCCUACUCAUACUGUUCUAAGAAAUCAAUGUGACUUCACAAUUUUUUAGAGUCAAUAUUAUAUAAAAAGGCCACCAGAUAGAAAAUUUAUUCCAUAAAAGUUGAUGACAUUUUGUCCUUUCCUAUAAAAUGAGACAUUUCAUGCUAUUUCUUUGAUUUAGGUUUUGUUUUUAAGAAAUCUGUGUAAGGAUAACCUUUCAGUGAAUGCCUUUAUUCAACAGAACUAUGAUGAAAAAUCAAAUUCAAUAAAAAGUGUACACAUAGUAAAGAUGCUAUAAAGAAAUAUUUUAUCUUCUGGGCAGAUAUAAUGGGAUGGAAAUAUUUCAGAAGCUCUUAUUGGUAAGAUUUGCCUCUCUCCUACAUUAUUUUUGUCAGUUGUGAUGAAAAGAUGUCCAGAUAUUAAAUGUUACUGGAGAGUGUUUGUAUCUGAAUGCAAAUGAGUGAAAGGCCAUAGGGUAUCUCCCUCUUCCCCGCACUUACUGGGACUCAGACUUUCCUCAUGCAGUCAUUGAGACUUUUAAUUUUGUCCUUUCCUUCUCAUCUCACCUUACCUUUCUUUUCACUCCUUCUGGAAUCUGGAUAAGCAGAAUUCUUCCCUGUAGCUUCUAGAAGGCACAAGAAGCUCAGCUGGCCAUGCCUUCAGUGUCCAUUCCUACAAUAUUGGGACUACGGUUUGAGGAAAUCUCCUGGGUCUGCCACUAGGACUUUCAAAAGAGAAUGUGUUCAACCACUUAUUAAUGGACUAGGAUUGCAGCCUAGCACCAAAGUUUGUUCUUCAUUCCAACUAAAUCAAAUGUUAGGGUUUGUUGUUGUUGUUGAUAAAUCUUGAUGUUUUAGGCAAUCCAGGCCGAUCACUGAAUCUACAUAAUAUUGCUGAGGUCAAGAAAAUGACUGUUGCAGUGGCACUUUUGGCUAUCUCUGUAGGAUUGCAAGUAAGUUCACUUAAGCCCAGGGAUGGUUCUGGUUGGAGUCCAUAUGGGAAAGUUUUGACCCAUGCAUCCCUGCCUACUGAGAGAUACUUACAGAUUCCACAUGGAGUUGGAAGAUGGGUCCACCAGCAAUAGUUCUCCACUUCCAUUUGGGAUAAUGGCAAUGUUAUUCCUAAAGCAUAGCCAAGAACACCUCUUUUCUGCUCCUUCCUGAGGCUGUGAUCUCAAAGUUAUAAUAAAGACUGAAAUUAUUGAGGAUUUCUUGGCUACGAACAAUUAACUUUCAGAUGUAGUCCAUGCCUCCAAGUCUUUCUGUGAAAAAGAGAACUCUCUGGCAUAUCUUUGUGUUGGAACCCAAAGAAGAGCACUCUUCACUGCCCUGUUGCAAUGUGGCUAUGAAUUUGAGAUUUGAUGUUAUCCUAGGCUCUCAGUACUUGCUACAUAAGUGUCUAUAGUGCUGCAACAUAGGAUUGAUUAGAUACCUGGUUAUUCUUCCAUCUUUGAGAGAAUCUGUUUCUUCUAAAUUGUUGACAUUUUCUAAAUUCAGCUUAUAUCAGUGGUAAUAAAUUUUCCUCAUGCAUUACUCAUGUUUUGUGAUAUUUAUUGCCGUGUUUAUAAUUGUUUAAAAGUUAACUUAAAUGUUAAUAAGAGAUUGAUUGAAAUUAAUUAUAACACACAUAUGCUAAUAUGCUAGGAUGCUAGGCACCCAUUGAAGUAAUGUGAAAAUCCUAUUGCUUAGUGCAACAAAGUGCUGGUUGAAUACAUCACUAAAGAAUGAAAAUAGAGGGCUGGGGUUGUGGCUCAGCGGUAGAGUGCUUGCCUCGCAUGUGUGAGGCUCUGGAUUCGGUCCUCAGCACCACAUAAAAAUAAAUAAACAAAAUAAAGGUAUUAUGUCCAUUUACAACUGAAAAAAAAGUUAAAAAAAGGAAUAAGAACAGACAAAUCUUCCACGCAGAAUUCCAAAUAAAUUACAUAAAAAUUGUACCCUCAAGAAGGUGGAACUUCCCACACUGGAAGUACAGGGUAACACUGUCCUUUACCUUGGUAAACACUACUUUUGGAAGCUGAAGGUCACUGGAUGCUAUAUGCUCUUGAUGAAAUGUAAUGAAAAUGGCACUCAGCCUCUGGAUCUUCCCCCUAUAGACCACAAAUUCAGUAAAAAUAUAAGAAAAAAUAUUCAAACUCAAAUAUGGUGGCAUUUUACAAAAUCCUUAACUAGCACUCUUAAAAUAUGAAGAUCUCAGAAAGCAAGAAAGUCUCAGAAACUUUCACAGCCAAGAGGAAUCUAAGGGGUCUUGAGUGUGACACAGAAUGUAAUAUUUGUCCUUGUUGAGUUGUUGGAACAGAAAAUUAUGUUGGAUAAAAAUUAUUCGUGGAGCCAUGAAAACAGGAUGGACUUUAGUUAAUAAUAACAUAUUAAUAUUGGUUCACUAAUUAUGAUUUCUGUAUCAUGCUAAUAUAAUAAACUUUGUAUGAGUAGCUUGCAACAUGCACUAUACUGUAAAGAUGUACUUCACAAUGUUUCUGUAAAACUAAAAUAAAAAUAUUUAAACAUAAAUAUCCUGCUUAGCAUGCCUCUGUUAUUAUAAAAUAUACAUGCAUGUAUGGACAUAUAUAUUAGUGAGACAUUUAGAAUAAUAUAAUAUGCUAACCUUGGUUGUCUCCUGA